CAUUAACAUUCGGAAAGUGAAAAGAGAAAUUUUGAGGUUUGAGCAACAAAAAGAGACCACAAGGACCUGCUUUAAUUUCGAUGCCCAAACUUAUGCAGUCUACUUGAGAAUUUCCGUUAUCAUGGGCGCAGCUUGGAUUUUUCAUUCCAUUACUGAACUUCUUAAAUUUGACGACUAUUACUUUGGUUUAAUCGGAACUUUAAUCCAUUUCUUUUUUGGUAUUAUCCAUUUUUUUUUGCUUAUCCUUAAGCGAAGCACCCUAAAGCUUUUAAUAGAUAGCUUUCAUGAAAGAAGGAAUGAGAAGCGAGUCCGUGCUCAGAGGAAAAAAGACCUGGCACAAAUAUCUAAACACAUCCAGAAAAAAA